rnacentral:lncRNA from 1 species
UUAUUUAAAAUCGAAAAACCGAAUUUGAGCAGUGAAGAUUAUCAUCUGAAUUAAGUGGCAAUACAUAAAAAAAUUGUCUAAUAACUGCGAAAAUCAAGAACCUCAAAUUUGGUGCUUCGUCCGAUCGCAACUGAUUGGACACGUUAUCAAUAGCAGAGUUGAGCUGUUCGAUUUUCUCCACCAGUUUCUUGCGUUGCUUCUGUUAGUAGUUAUGGAGCAAGAAAUAUUAAUCAAAAA